UACGUAGGGUGCAAGCGUUGUCCGGAUUUAUUGGGCGUAAAGAGCUCGUAGGCGGUCUGUCGCGUCGGAUGUGAAAACCCAGGGCUCAACCCUGGGCCUGCAUUCGAUACGGGCAGACUAGAGUACGGCAGGGGAGACUGGAAUUCCUGGUGUAGCGGUGAAAUGCGCAGAUAUCAGGAGGAACACCGGUGGCGAAGGCGGAUCUCUGGGCCAUUACUGACGCUGAGGAGCGAAAGCGUGGGGAGCGAACAGG
rnacentral:rRNA from 1 species